rnacentral:rRNA from 1 species
GACAGAGGUGCCGAGCGUUAGGCGGAAUCACUGGGCUUAAAGCGUGUGUAGGCGGGCCGUUAAGUGCCCCGUGAAAUCCCCCGGCUCAACCGGGGAACGGCGGGGCAUACUGGCGGCCUUGAGCCACUUAAGGGCAGACGGAACAAGCGGUGGAGCGGUGAAAUGCGUAGAUAUCGCUUGGAACGCCGACGGCGAAAGCAGUCUGCUGGGGGUGUGCUGACGCUGGAGACACGAAGCCAGGGAGCGAACGGGAUUAGAGUACCCCAGAGU